rnacentral:rRNA from 1 species
UGCCAGCAGCCGCGGUAAUACGGAGGGUGCAAGCGUUGCUCGGAAUUACUGGGCGUAAAGCGAGCGCAGGCGGAUUAUUAAGCCAGAUGUGAAAGCCCGGAGCUCAACUCCGGAACUGCAUCUGUAACUGGUAAUCUAGAGGAUAUGAGAGGGAAGUAGAAUUCCUGGUGUAGAGGUGAAAUUCGUUGAUAUCAGGAGGAAUACCUGUGGCGAAGGCGGCUUCCUGGCAUAUUUCUGACGCUGAGGCUCGAAAGCGUGGGUAGCGAACAGGAUUAGAUA